GUUCUCAGUUCGGACCGUAGGCUGCAACUCGCCUACACGAAGUCGGAAUCGCUAGUAAUCGCGGAUCAGCAUGCCGCGGUGAAUACGUUCCCGGGCCUUGUACACACCGCCCGUCACACCAUGGGAGUUUGUAACGCCCAAAGUCGGUGGCCUAACCUUUAUGGAGGGAGCCGCCUAAGGCGGGACAGAUGACUGGGGUGAAGUCGUAACAAGGUAUC
rnacentral:rRNA from 1 species